GCUUCUGCAAAGAAGAAAAGCAGCAAAGCAGCAGGUUCUAGUUCAUCUGCAGAUGAACCCAGGUGGCAGAAAACAAAAUGCAAGAGUGACCUGAACAUAAGUUAAUUCAACAAAGCAUUUGGGAGCAGUGUGUUUGCAAAAUUACUGGCUUCUAUUAAGGUUAUGGGUUAACUAAACAUUGCUGGAAACGUA